GUAGCCCUAAUGCUACACUUGUAAGCAGGACAUAGCACAAACUACGAAAAAGCAGGACACUGGGAGUUGUUUGCCCCACAUUGUCUAGACACAGUAAGCCUUAUGUUUGAAGUACUUGAAAUGAGUUUUGCAACCGGACUUUUGUCAUCAUGACUCCAAAGACAGAGAAACACACAGCUGUUCCUUUCAGAUAAAGUAUAUAUGCGGGCCUUGAACUCAGAGCACUGGCCAGUGA